UUUCCGUAGGUGAACCUGCGGAAGGAUCAUUAAUGAGUUGUCAUGGGGUUCGAUGCUGGCAGCCAAUUUUUGGAUGCAUGUGCUUGCCCUAACAAUCAUCUUCCAAACACCUGUGCACAUUUUUGAGGGAGUCUUGAGUUGGUUGCCGCUCUUGGGUGAUUUUCUCACAUUCCCUUAAAUCAUUAUACGCUAUUAACAAUGAUGAACGUGCUCUGUGCCGCAAGGCUAUUAAUAUAAUACAACUUUUAACAACGGAUCUCUUGGCUCUC
rnacentral:misc_RNA from 1 species